CGUGUAGGCGGUUUAGCAAGCCUGGUGUGAAAUACUUCAGCUCAACUGAAGGAACGCGCUGGGAACUGUUAGACUAGAGUGAUGGAGGGGGAGUUGGAACUCCAGGUGUAGGGGUGAAAUCUGUAGAUAUCUGGAAGAACACCGGUGGCGAAGGCGAACUCCUGGCCAUAUACUGACGCUAAUGCGCGAAAGCGUGGGGAGCGAACAGGAUUAGAUACCCUGGUAGUCC
rnacentral:rRNA from 1 species